rnacentral:rRNA from 1 species
GUAUGGACUACCAGGGUAUCUAAUCCUGUUUGCUACCCAUACUUUCGAGCCUCAGCGUCAGUUACAGACCAGACAGCCGCUUCGCCACUGGUGUUCUUCCAUAUAUCUACGCAUUUCACCGCUACACAUGGAGUUCCACUGUCCUCUUCUGCACUCAAGUUUCCCAGUUUCCGAUGCACUUCUUCGGUUGAGCCGAAGGCUUUCACAUCAGACUUAAAAAACCGCCUGCGCUCGCUUUACGCCCAAUAAAUCCGGACAACGCUUGCCACCUACGUAUUACCGCGGCUGCUGGCACGUAGUUAGCCGUGGCUUUCUGGUUAAAUACCGUCAAUACCUGAACAGUUACUCUCAGAUAUGUUCUUCUUUAACAACAGAGUUUUACGAGCCGAAACCCUUCUUCACUCACGCGGCGUUGCUCCAUCAGACUUUCGUCCAUUGUGGAAGAUUCCCUACUGCUGCCUCCCGUAGGAGUUUGGGCCGUGUCUCAGUCCCAAUGUGGCCGAUUACCCUCUCAGGUCGGCUACGUAUCAUUGCCAUGGUGAGCCGUUACCUCACCAUCUAGCUAAUACGCCGCGGGACCAUCCAAAAGUGAUAGCCGAAGCCAUCUUUCAAACUCGGACCAUGCGGUCCAAGUUGUUAUGCGGUAUUAGCAUCUGUUUCCAGGUGUUAUCCCCCGCUUCUGGGCAGGUUUCCCACGUGUUACUCACCAGUUCGCCACUCACUCAAAUUAAACUCAUGACGCAAGCACCAAUCAUCACCAGAGUUCGUUCGAAUUGCAUGUAUAGU